GUGAUGCGUACUUCGAAUUGGAACAGUACUUGGUCUCCGACUGAUGACGUAACACGAGUACACGAGAACGCAAGUACGCACAAGUACGCAUAUUGAUAAACGCCCUGGGAGUCCCUCUUCGCUGUGCCGGCCCACCUGCAGCUGAUUAUCUGACCAGCUGUUGGUAAUCAUCCCUCCCGGCUAGAAAGAGGUAUUUAACCUGGACUCGCGGCGACAGUCGACGUGGGAUUAUUACUCCUGACUGGAGAGUCGAGCGAAGAAGCGAGUUGGGGAGCACACACACUAAGGGAGCUACAGCACGGGACGCACGGGGACGAGCACUGUUGGCAGAUUGCACUGUGGAGUGAAUCGUUGGACUUGCCUGUCUAUUUCCACUGUAAAUAAAGUGCACUGUGGCAUUGCAGA